UACGUAGGGGGCGAGCGUUGUCCGGAUUCAUUGGGCGUAAAGAGCUCGUAGGCGGUUUGGUAAGUCGGGUGUGAAAACCCCGGGCUCAACCUGGGGACGCCACCUGAUACUGCUAUGACUUGAGUCUGGUAGGGGAUCACGGAAUUCCUGGUGUAGCGGUGAAAUGCGCAGAUAUCAGGAGGAACACCGGUGGCGAAGGCGGUGAUCUGGGCCAGUACUGACGCUGAGGAGCGAAAGCGUGGGGAGCGAACAGG
rnacentral:rRNA from 1 species